GCUAAUGGCCCGUUAGUUGACAAUGGUUUAUUACAAGUUUGCACUUUCUAAUAACCAGUGAAGAAUCAUCAUCAAUCAACUCUACAGUUUUGACUUUUGCUUACACUCCUUUCCUUCUUCGCCUCUGUUCUACUUAAUUUCUAUGAGGGAUAGAAAGAUUAAGGAUCUCUGUUCUUCAGAAUCCAGGCACUACUCAAUUGCAAGGGAAUUAAUACUGAAACCAUUAACAAAUCCGGAGAAACUACUCUUGACACUGCUGAAAAAACUGGGCAUUCAGAGAUUGCAACUAUCUUACAGGACCAUUGAUUCCAGAGUGCAAAAUCCAUGAAGUCGCCAACAAGAAGCAAUUGGUGACAGUUAUAAACAAACUAAUGUGGUUGGCUUGCAAUUUUGUCUCGGUGGCUUUUUCUGCACUGUCUUAUAUUGCUGUGGGAAAUCAUGAGAGGCGGUUGGCAGUAAGUAUUACAGUUAUAAGGACAGUGGUCUUGGCUGCAAUAUUGGGGAUAAUGUCAUAUUGGGUAAUUAUCCAUCCAAUUGAAGCUUCCAAUUUGAGGAGCAUUCGCAUGUCUACAAGGAGUAGCUAGUCACAGUAGUGGUUUGCCUCGGUUAUGUCAGAUUCAGAGAUGCUGAACAAUGAGUACAAGAAGCUUUAUGCAAUUUGAGUUUGGCAUAUUACAUAUUCUUUUCUAACCCAUGGUAUUUCUGAUCUCUUCCCUUAAUUUUUUUUUUUAUGGCCUUUCCCCCUUUGCAUUUAUAUACUAAUUUAAUUUAACAGUCUCUUUUCUCUUUCAUGUAGCUGGUAAUUGCUGUUCCAUUAAGAUGAACUGUAAAAGAAGCAAAGAAUUCAGCAAGCACUUUGAUUCAGCUGAACAAAAAGCUAAAACAGUUGGUUUAUAUCAUUGUCAUACUAGAACUUUUCACUGGUUGGCUUUCCAGAUUGAAGCAUAAGGAAGGAUUACUAUGUCUAUUUUACAGCUGCUGCAGAACUUUCCCUUCUCAUUCAUAACCCUGGCUAAUUUGUACUCAUUUCCAAAUGAAGACCGUAUUUAUGUCUGAUUAACUUUUUAUUUUUAUUUAUUUUAUUUUUUAUCCACUGAGAGGUGAUAUCUUCAAAAAGUAAAUAAAUAAUUUACAGUUUCCAGCCAGUCCCACUUCCUGAUUUUUUCAAGAGAUUCCUGCAAUCACUUUAAGAUAGGGAAUCCAUUUCUACUUUGGCUUAAUGCAAGCCAGGGAAAGUACAGCUGCUCUGGUUAGCAAGUGGAUAUCAACUUCCUUGAUGAUCUUAUGACAUAUCUCCUUAUUUAAUCUUAUGCAAUUGUCAUCAGUUAUGUUUUGGGUGGAAAAAGUAGUUUUCAAGAUGGAAUUAUAUAGAAACAUUAUUCAUGAUUUAUCAUUCUGAUAAAUCUCAUGCUGUUGAAAAUUUCCAAGUUCUCUGAUUACCAUAUAUUCCAAGAUGGACUGGCUAGAUGAUAUAUAUCAGUUUUGGUGGAAAACAAUGUAGGUCUUGAUCAGUAGCUGAUAAUGUGAUUUUAUUUGCAAUUUGGGAGUAAAAAUGUCUAUUGCAUGUAUUUGGGAUCUAUGUUAGAUUUGGGUGCAUAUAUGGUUGUCAAAUUUUUCUAGGUUUCAAAUCUUAGGACAGUGGAACAUUACUGAAUAGUCAGUGUCCUAGACUCCUAGUUUUAUCCAUCCUCAUCUAGAAUAAACCUCAAGUGUUAUAUAGGAUGUGAUAUUCUUUGGAAGUUCCAGGAAACAGGAAUGAGUCCCCCUUCUUCAUUCUGCUUGCUGUGUAGGUCUAUCAUGCACUUCUCCUGUACACACACCUGUGUGAUGUCAUGGCUAACAUGGUAUUUUUUGACUCCUGAAUCGUCCAUUUGACGUAGCAAGCAUCCAUCUCAAGGAUCACCCACUUGUAUCUUCUAAAAUUAUUGUGACAGGAGCGUAGAGGACACUGAAUGUUGAUGAAUCAAGAGAGCAAAAGGUAGCCAAAUGAAUCAAGACAAUUAAUUGGCACAUGAUUCCUGAAAUGAUAACCACACAGUUCUUGUAACUUAGGUGUUGUUCAUAUCCCAGCUCUUUUCACUUUAUCUUCAAUUUUGGUUUUAUGUCCUGUAGCACAAUGACCUCCAUAAAGAGUGUGUGAUAUAUAUUAUUAAUUCUGAUUGAACACGA